UACGAAGGGUGCAAGCGUUAAUCGGAAUUACUGGGCGUAAAGGGUGCGUAGGCGGUUCGUUAAGUCUGUCGUGAAAUCCCCGGGCUCAACCUGGGAAUGGCGAUGGAUACUGGCGAGCUAGAGUGUGUCAGAGGAUGGUGGAAUUCCCGGUGUAGCGGUGAAAUGCGUAGAGAUCGGGAGGAACACCAGUGGCGAAGGCGGCUCGCUGGGCAGUGGCUGACGCUGAGGCGCGACAGCGUGGGGAGCAAACAGG
rnacentral:rRNA from 1 species